AAUAAAGAAAGGAAAUUAACUCUGAAAGCGAUACCGUGAACUUUGAUGUGACGUACAUUUUAUCAAUCAAUAUGACUAUUAUAUAGGAUAGUUCAACAAUUGUUGGUGUUCGGGCUCAAUGCAAGAUGAACUUUCCUAUCGCGUUUAUUCUAUAUCCACACCCUGCCUUUAUCCUAUAUCCACACCCUCCAAUGUCCAUAGACACAUAUUUAUAUUAGUUCUGGAUUUCUCAACACAC
rnacentral:lncRNA from 1 species